rnacentral:rRNA from 1 species
UACAGAGGGGGCAAGCGUUGUUCGGAAUUACUGGGCGUAAAGGGCGCGUAGGCGGCCUUCUAAGUCGAACGUGAAAUCCCCGGGCUCAACCCGGGAACUGCGUCCGAGACUGAAAGGCUUGAAUCCGGGAGAGGGAUGUGGAAUUCCAGGUGUAGCGGUGAAAUGCGUAGAUAUCUGGAGGAACAUCGGUGGCGAAGGCGGCAUCCUGGACCGGUAUUGACGCUGAGGCGCGAAAGCGUGGGGAGC